rnacentral:lncRNA from 1 species
CCAGCUCUCAGAAGACUAGCGUGGAAAUGCUGUGGCCGAGUGUCUUCGUUGCAUUUAAUUUUCAGGUUAACUUUUAUAAAACAAGACCCGAACAGAUUCAGAGGCAUCCCUCUUGCGUUUCCACCUAGGAACUGGGACAUGCACACCUGUAUUUUUUACUUUUGAAACUUUGACUUUUCUCUCCUGCUUAGGGAGGUUCACGAGUAGUUAGGUAUAGUGCAACCUUACAUAGGAAGAGAAGAUUGUACUCAGAAGCUGUAUCUACUGCUUAAUUGCUUAUACUGCUGCUUACUUUGGAUGAAUUUAAUAGAAUAUUGAGGCUGAGUUUGUCUGUAGUUCAGUUAUAACUUCAGAUCUGAUCCUGAAAAUGUGGUGUUCUGUCUUUUUUUUUUUUUUUUAAGUCCACAUGUUGCUAAGUGUUGGUCUCCUAUUGUAAAGCUUCUAGCAAAGGUUACGUUCCCUAACAGAGAAGUAAAAUGUGAAUUUAAAGAGUAGUGUUAAAAAGUGAUAACCUUGUGUUUUUUCAGAGGAAAAGCCAGAAAAUUACGUAGCUGUUUUUUCUAGGGAGGGGUGGUUAGCUGAUUUCUCAUGUUUUAAGCCUUCAUUCUUCUUGAUGGAUAAUCAUUCAGUUUUUGAAUUUUGUAGCUUAGUAAUAUUGAGCAAUUUAAGGCCGAACUAUUAACUCUUAUUUCUGAUUGCCUUGCUGGGGAUAAAAUGGAUUAUCUCUGCAGAAUGACUGAUGCUCUGGUUUUACUGCACAGCCUACCCGCCCUUGAAAUUCAAUGCUUGUUUUCUCUGCUAGCUUCUUGUGUAGAGAUGUUUGUCAAUGAUCUUAUGAUGCUAAAAAUGCGUUUACAGAGUGAGACACAUCCUGUUAGUUUUGCUCUUCCUGGAUGCAUGCCGUGGACAUUUCAAAGGGCAUGUAAGAGCCAUUAAGAUUUCAGACUGGUACAGCUUUUGAGCAAAACAGGAAACACUGUGUUACAGAAAUCAGUUUCUGUGUUGGUAAAUACUGUGGGUGUGGCGCCUCCCUUGUAUCUUCUUCAGAAAAGAUAAAUAAGAUAUCGUACAAUAUGAGCCUUUCCAGUUAGUGGAAGACCUUUUUUAGUCUGUCUUGUGCUGGUAAUAAAUACCUUUCUCUAUGCAGAGAAUAAAGUGGAUAUAUUUUUUCUUGCU